rnacentral:rRNA from 1 species
CCUACGGGUGGCAGCAGUGAGGAAUAUUGGUCAAUGGGCGGGAGCCUGAACCAGCCAAGUCGCGUGAGGGAUGAAGGUCCUACGUGUUGUAAACCUCUUUUGCCAGGGAACAAAGUCGGCCACGUGUGGCCUUAAGCGGGUACCUUGAGAACAAGCAUCGGCUAACUCCGUGCCAGCAGCCGCGGUAAUACGGAGGAUGCGAGCGUUAUCCGGAUUUAUUGGGUUUAAAGGGUGCGCAGGCGGCGUGUCAAGUCAGCGGUAAAAUGUCGGGGCUCAACCCCGGCCGGCCGUUGAAACUGGCGGGCUAGAGUUGGAGAGAAGUAUGCGGAAUUCGUGGUGUAGCGGUGAAAUGCAUAGAUAUCACGAAGAACCCCGAUUGCGAAGGCAGCAUACCGGCUCGACACUGACGCUGAGGCACGAAAGUGUGGGUAUCGAACAGGAUUAGAUACCCGGGUAGUC